rnacentral:rRNA from 1 species
AACGAACGCUGGCGGCAUGCCUAACACAUGCAAGUCGAACGAGACCUUCGGGACUAGUGGCGCACGGGUGCGUAACGCGUGGGAACCUGCCUUUAGGUUCGGAAUAACUCAGAGAAAUUUGAGCUAAUACCGGAUGAUGUCUUCGGACCAAAGAUUUAUCGCCUUUAGAUGGGCCCGCGUUGGAUUAGCUAGUUGGUGGGGUAAAGGCCUACCAAGGCGACGAUCCAUAGCUGGUCUGAGAGGAUGAUCAGCCACACUGGGACUGAGACACGGCCCAGACUCCUACGGGAGGCAGCAGUGGGGAAUAUUGGACAAUGGGCGAAAGCCUGAUCCAGCAAUGCCGCGUGAGUGAUGAAGGCCUUAGGGUUGUAAAGCUCUUUUACCCGAGAUGAUAAUGACAGUAUCGGGAGAAUAAGCUCCGGCUAACUCCGUG